GUGCUUGCUUUGGCAGCACAUAUACUAAAAUUGGAACGAUACAGGGAAGAUUAGCAGGGCCCCUGCACAAGGUUGACACUCAAAUUCUUGAAGUGUUCCCCCCCCCA
ensembl:snRNA U6 U6 spliceosomal RNA